rnacentral:rRNA from 1 species
UACGUAGGGACCAAGCGUUGUUCGGAUUUACUGGGCGUAAAGGGCGCGUAGGCGGCGCGGUAAGUCACUUGUGAAAUCUCUGAGCUUAACUCAGAACGGCCAAGUGAUACUGCAGUGCUAGAGUGUGGAAGGGGCAAUCGGAAUUCUUGGUGUAGCGGUGAAAUGCGUAGACAUCAAGAGGAACACCUGAGGUGAAGACGGGUUGCUGGGCCAACACUGACGCUGAUGCGCGAAAGCCAGGGGAGCAAACGGG